CUAGGAUCUGCUACAUAAGCAAUUGGGCCCAUACCCCAAAAACGGUAAUUUUACCUCCUAGCA
rnacentral:tRNA from 1 species